rnacentral:lncRNA from 1 species
UGGAAGUAGAAAAUAUAAAUAUUCAUAAAAAUACUCAUAAAGCUCGUGGCUAUGGAGGGAAUCGCUGCUAGGCUUAAAUUGAGCAAACAAAUAUGUAAUGGGUGAGGUUUGUUCGCAACCUCCAAACUCAAAUCAGUAUUAAAUCACAGAACUCAAAAGGAAAUUCAGUAACCUAGUAAAUUAAUUGCAAUAAUGGUUCACUUACAGCAAUUAAUCAUAAAAGAAGAUAUGAAGAAAUGGAAUGAGAAGAGGGAAAGAAAUAGAAUCUGAAGAAGGAAAAUCGCGCAUACACUUUGCACACCCACUAUCUGAUGUUAUUAACAUGGUUAUAACAGAAAUGAAAAGUAAGGGAAGAAAUGAAAAGUGAGUUUCCCAUUUUACAAUCAAUAAUUUUAAUUAAAUAUUGCCGCAUCACUUAAAGCCAAACAACGUCAUAUUCUUCUAAUUCAAGCUUCAGUUAAAAACGGUUGCCUCUGCUGUUCCUCUUCCGUUUUCCUCCCCAGUCCAGCUGAGUUCCAACCUUCUCUUCAUAACAUCCCUCCCCCUUAGCAUACCCUUGUCCCCAAGGUUGAAAUGCCAGAAAUUUGGAUUGAACGUAAGCUGAUUCCUCCCAGGUAGCAUCAUCCGGUGUAGUUCCUUCCCAUUGAACUAGCUAUUGAGCGACAGCUAGGCCAUUCUUGUUAAUCAGUCUCGUAGAUAGUAUCUGCAGAGGUUGUCCAUGAAACUGCUGGUGCUUGUUCUGAUCUGGGAGUUCAAAAAUUGGCACUUCUUUCUCUCUAAUUUUUUUCUUCAAUAAAGAAACAUGGAAGAUAGGAUGAAUUUAAGCUGUGGCUGGUAAAUCCAGUUUAUAGGCCACCAUCCAAAAUUUUUGUAUCACAUGGUAUGGACCAUUACACUUCGCAGAUAACUUCUUGUUGAUCCUUUAACUACAGUUUGUUAAGCAUAAAGGUGAAGCUUGAAGUAAACCCAAUCCCCAAUACUCUCUCACUCCCAUGUCUAUCUGCAUAUUGCUUCGUCCAGACUCCAGCUUGAGCCAGAUUUUCUGUGACUAACUGGUCUAUUCUAUGCCUUUCCUGUAAUAACUCUUCCACUGCAGCAAUGUUAGUCUGUUGGUAUGGACACAGAGCUAACUGUGGUGGUUUGUUACCAUAUAAUGCUUCAAAUGGAGUCAUUUUGAUGGAUGUAUACAGAGUGGUAUUCUACCACCACUCAACCAAACUAAUCCACUUGCUCCAUUGUUUAUGCUGUUUAUAAACCAUAAAACUGAGAUACAUAUCCAAGCACUGUUCUGUUUUACCCAUCUAUUUGUGGGUGAUAAGCAGUACUUAUCUGCAAUUUGACCCCUAGAUGUUUGAAUAAGCUUUGUCAAAACUCAUUUGUGAAUAUUGUCCCUAUCUGUAACAAUGCCCUGAGGCAUUCCAUGCAGCUUAUGUAUGUUAUAUAGGAAUAACUUGGCAAUAGUAAGAGCUGAGGAGGAGGGUAUCAUUGUAAUAAAAUGUGCAAACUUAGUAAAUCUGUCUACUACCAUUACAAUGAGUCAAUGACAUUCUUGGCUCCAGAAGUGGGAAGUCCCUCGAUGAAAUCUAUAGAGAUGUGGCUCUAGGCAUAGUGUGGUUCUGGCAAAGGUUGUAGUAAACCUGGGUAGGCCACACGAUCCCCUUUACAUCUUUGACGUGUCAAACUCUAGAACUUCCUGCUUAAUUUCUUUGCUCAUUCCUGGCCUCAAAAAAAUAUUGCUUAGCCAUGUGAAUACUAGCUUGUACCCCCUGAAUGCCCCUCCUCUUGUGAUGAAUGGAUGGCUGCUAUCAGUUUCCUCCUCACUUCACCAUGUGAACUAAUAUAAAUUCUAGAUUUGUAUUUGAGCAAUCCAUUCAAGAAUUGAUAAUCCUGCUCAACAGUGUUGUUGAGUAACAAAGCAGCAAUCUUGCCUUUAGCUUCUUUAUCCGCUUGGUAACUGACCGUUACUUCUCCAACGCACAGUGGAGUAACUUCAUCUAUUGCUAAGCACUCAACUCCCUUCUCCUCUCCCUUACGUGAAGCAUCUACUUCUUUAUUAUUCACUCCUUUCUUAUAUCUUAUCUCAAAGCUGAGCCCCAUAAGUUUGGACAGCCACUUUUGUUGCAAAGGAGUAGUAAUCCUUCACUCAAGUAGAUAUUUCAGUGACUGAUGAUCUGUUUUGAUGAUAAAAUUUUGGCCAUCUAAGUAGUACCUCCAUUUUCCAACUGUCGUUACUAGAGCUAGGAGCUCUUUCUCAUAGAUUGAUAAACCCAAGUUCCUUCUGUUUAUCCCUUUGCUUAGAUAGGCUAUUGGUCUCUUAUUUUACAUCAACAUCGCUCCCAAUCCGCAAUAGCAAGUAUCAGUUUCUACAAUGAAUGGAAUGGAGAAGACUGGUAAGGCCAGCAUUGGUAUAAUAUUCAUAUCUCUGAUUAAUCCCUAAAAAGCCAAUUCAGCAGACUCACCCCCAAUUGAAAUUCUCGUUUUUCAAAAGUUCAGUUAGUGGUUUGGCUAUCGCUCCAUACCCCCUAGCAAACCUCCCAUAAUACACAGUUAGGUCUAAAAAACCCUCUAGUUUUUGACAUUGACUAGCUUAGGCCACUCCUACAUUAUAACGACCCAAAUUUUUACCUUUGGAAUCAUUAUACAUAUUCUGUAAAAUGAUACUUUCAUAUAAAAAAAAAACUAUCUUUUGAAUGUGAAAUGUUUAAAACAAAUUUUAAAGAAAAUACAAUAAACAUAGUUAAAAAUUGUUUACUACUUAAAUCAUUAUUCAUUUUCAACCACAAAGCACAAUUCACCUCCGAUCGCCUCGAACCCGCCUCUUUUAAUUACGUAUAAAAUAUUUAACUUAUACAUGUGAGACAAAAAUCUCAAUAAAUGAGUAAUAACGAAUUUUCAUUUCAUAUUUAAUUACAGCAAGUCAUAAUAUGCAUAUGGAGACACGAGAAUUAAAAUCCGAACUUCGUGGCUAUAAUUCUCGUGUGUAGCACUACUAAACUCCGGUCAUUUGAACUUACACAUAUAAGACCCUUAUCAUAAUCAUAUCUAGAAUUUUCGUAUCAUCAUAUUCAUAAUAUAAAUUUCUGUAAUUUAAAUAAUGAAAGAACAAUUUGUAUUACUACACUUACCUUUCACUUGAUAAUUCAAAAAUGAUAGAAAAAGUGAUUGUUGGAGGGAGAUCCUUAAGCCGCGUCAAACCAACUCUCAUACGAGCUCCAGGCGGUUCAUUCAUCUGGCUGUAAACUAGAGCCACUUCAAAGCACAAUUGGUUCAUGUCUUGAAAGUUGUCAAAUCAAUUCAUUUAAUCAUGUGAUCAAAUCAAUUGACUUGACUUGAAUCUUGGUGUAAAUAAUGUAUUUGGUCUAAUCAAUUACCUUAGUUUAUGUGGUCAAAGCAAUUACUUUGCUUAAAAUGUGGUGAAUAAUGCAUGUGAUCAAAUAAUAAACUUCAAUCAUAGCUAAUUGACAUAUUUACAUAUAUUUUAUAUAUAAUUUUAUUUAACUUCCAAAUUAACUCGUCACUUAGGCCCUCAAACUAUUGGUUAGUAAUUAAUAAGGUCAUUAGACUUUAAUAAUAGCGCACUUAAGUCCUAAUUUUUAAUCUAAUGACUAAUAAUAAAAAUUCGGGAUAUUACAAACUACCUCCCUUAAAUUAAAUUUCGUCCGCAAAAUUUUCCUUGGAACUCCUAGAAGAGUUGUGGGUAUUUGGCUCGCAUUUCCAUUUCUCGCUCCCAAGUAACUUCUUCUACUGAGUGAUGUUGCCAUAACACUUUAACCAACGGUAUUUCUUUGUUGCAAAGCUUCUGUACUUUCUGAGCUAUGAUGCAUAUUGGUGCUUCUUCGUAACUUAGGUUCAGCUGAAUAUCUAACGGUUGAUGUCUCACCACAUGAGUUGGGUCAAGGACUUACUUUCUGAGCAUUGAUACAUGAAAGACAUUGUGUACAACUGAAAGUUCUGGUGGUAAGGCUAACUGGUAUGCAACAUUUCCAACCCGCUUUAAAAUUUUGAAAGAACCAAUGUCUCUUAGACUAAGCUUACCCCUCUUACCAAAUCGUAGCACCCCUUUCAUGGGUGUAACAUUUAAAAGUACUUUAUCUCCUAUCGCAAAUUCCAAGUCCUUUCUCCUUUUAUCUGCAUAAUUUUUCUGUCUAUCUUGAGACUUCUUCAUGCUAACUCUGAUAUUUUCAAUUGCUUGUACUGUUUGCUCCACAAUUUCUAGCCCAAGAUCUUAUGUUCGCCAACAUCAUCCCAAUGAAUAAGCGAUCUACAUUUCCUCCCAUAUAAAGUCUCAUAGGGUGCCAUGCCAAUAGAGGCAUGGUAGCUAUUGUUGUAUGCAAACUCAAUUAAAAGUAGAUGCUUUUCCCAAUGUCCACCAAACUCUAGGACACACGAUCACAACAUUUCUUCUAAUGUUUGAAUUGUCUGUUUAGAUUGUCCAUCAGUUUGAGGGCAGAAAGUUGUACUAAAGGUCAAUUUAGUUUCCAUGGCCCGAUGUAAACUCUUUCAAAAGUUUGAUGUGAACCUUGGGUCCCUAUCAGAUACAAUUGAAAUUGGGGCACCAUGUAGCCUCACUACUUCUUUAACAUAUAACUGUGCAAAUUGGUCCAUGGAAAAUGUCAUGCGAACAGGUAGAAAAUGGGCGGACCUGGAUAAAUGGUCGAUAAUAAACCAAAUAGCCUUGUGUCCUUUUACUCACUUCGGAAAGCCUACAACAAAGUCCAUCGUCACAUGCUCCCAUUUUCAUUCUGGAACUUCCAACAAUUGCAACAAUCCUGAUGGUCGCUGAUGUUCAUCUUUCACUUGAUGACAUAUCAGGCACUUCCCCACAUAUUUAGCUGCAUCUCCCUUCAUAUUUUUCCACCAAAAUACAGCUCUUAGGUCACGAUACAUUUUUGACUUCCUGGAUGCACAAAAUAAGAAGAGUGGGCUUCCUCCAAGAUUUAAAUUUUCAAUUCUUUGAAAUGUGGUACACAUAGGCGUCCUUGAUAAUGAAGUGCCUUAUCUCCAAUUAUGGCUAAAUCUUUCCAUUUCUCUGUAUUAAUCUCAACUUUGAUAAACUCAAAGGAUUGAUGACCUUUUUGAUGGCUCUUAAUCCAAUCAUGGACAGUCGGUCGAAUUGAAAGUGCUGCCAUUCGAGUAAUAGAAUCAAAGGGAGUAGCAACCACUUUGAGACUUAAUCCCUCAAAUUCUCUUUAUAAAGGUUUUUGUGUUGUUAACAUUGCUACUUGCCCCGUUGUUUUCCUACUUAAGGCGUCGGCUACUACGUUUGCCUUUCCUGAGUGGUAAUGAAUUCCACAAUCGUAAUCUUUUACUAGUUCAAGCUAUCUUCUCUGUCUCAUGUUCAAAUCCUUUUAGGUGAAGAUGUACUUGAGGCUUUUAUGAUCUGUAUAGAUGUCACACUUCCCUCCGUACAAAUAGUGCCUCCAAAUUUUCAGGGCAUGAACUACUGCAGCCAGUUCUAGGUCAUGUGUGGGAUAGUUUUGCUCAUAAGGCUUCAACUAUCUCGAUGCAUAAGCCACUAAUUUGUCUUGUUGCAUCAAAACACAUCCAAUAACCCAGUUUGGAUGCAUCACUGUAUAUUACAAAACCUUUCGAUUUUCUAGGUAUGGUUAAAACUGGAGCAUUGAUUAACCUCUUCUUUAACUCCUCAAAACUGCAUUCACAUUUCUCUGACCAUUCAAACUUUACACCUUUAUGAGUUAAUUGUGUUAAUGGUCAGGAUAUUUUGGAGAAUCCCUCAAUAAGCCAUCUCUAGUAUCCUGCUAAACCCAAAAAGCUGCGAAUUUCUCCCACAGUGGUUGGCCUUGACCAAUUCAAUAUUGCUUCUACUUUACUGGGAUCCACCUCUAUUCAUUAUGCUGUGACCAUGACCAAGAAAGACCACUCAUUCUAACCAAAAUUCGCACUUCUUGAAUUUUGCAAAAAGUUUUUCCUUCCCGAGGAUCUCUAGCAUAAUUCUCAAAUGUUUUUCGUGCUCUUCUUCACUAUGAGAGUAGAUCAUGAUGUCAUCAAUAAAUACAAUGACAAAUUGGUCCAAUAUUCAUGGAAAACGCGAUUCAUCAAGUCCAUGAAAACUCUAGAAGCACUUGUCAAGCCAAACGGCAUAACUAUAAACUCAUAGUGACCAUAUCAAGUUCUAAAGGCAGUCUUUGAGACAUCACUAAUUUUGAUCCUCAACUAGUGAUAUCCCGAGCUUAAGUCGAUCUUUGAAAAUACUCUGGCACCUCGUAGUUGAUUAAACAAGUUUUCGAUUCUGGGUAGGGGAUACUUAUUUUUAAUGGUGAUUCUAUUCAAUUCUCAAUAGUCGACACAUCCUCAUUGUCCCAUCCUUCUUUUUGACAAACAACACUGGUGCUCCCCAUGCUGAAACGUUGGGUCGGAUGAACCCUUUUCCCAACAAUUCCUGGCCUUCAGUUCCUGUAAUUCCUUUGGUGCCAUUCUGUAAGGAGCCUUAGAAAUGGGCGUGGAACCGAGAACUAGAUCAAUCGUGAACUCCACAUCCCGUUCCGGCAGCAUUUUAUUCAAAUCACCAGGAAAUAUCUCUGGGAACUCUCUUACCACCUUGACAUCACUCACUUUCAGUUUUUUCAUCUUCUUUAACUACUAUUGACAUAAAAAAUCCACUAUAGCCUUCUGAUUUCAAGAGUUUCUUAGCCUUCAAUGCCGUAAUGAUACAAGGUAAGGUUUUUUUCUUAGUUACAGAAAGACGAUGUUCCAUUUCUCCAGGAUGGUUAAAUGCCACUACUCGUUCAAAACAUAGAAUAGUUGCGUGAUUCUUAGACAGCCAGUCCAUUCCCAAAAUUACUUCAAACUCUUGCAUGUUCAAGACAUAUAAGUUUGCUUCUAAGAAUUUAUCAUCAAUCUUAGACCCUAGCUGUCCUUGCUAUAGAGUUUGUACCUAACACUUCUCCUGAGGGCAUAGCAACUUCUAAGGUAGUAUUUAUAUGUUCACUAGGCAUAUUGAGUUUGUUCACAAACUUUGGAGAUAUAAAAGAAUGAGUGAAGCCAGAAUCAAUCAAAGUAUAAGCAGAGGAUCGAGAUUUAAGGAUGUUACCCGCUAAGACGUUGCGGUUCGUCCUCUUCCUGUUAUGUUAGUGCAUACACCCUAGCUUGGCCUCUAGAGAGAUUCCCACGCUUCUGUUGUUGCUUUUGUUUCUGUCCCUUGGGGCAUGUUUUUGCCACAUGGCCCGCUUCACCACAAUUGAAGCAUACACUUAUCCCCCUGAGGCACGUUCUAGCAUGAUUCUUUUGGCACUUGCUGCAAACUAGAUACUGUUGAUAACUAUUUGCACUUGAGUCUCCUUUAUAUUUCUUUACAAAAUUCUGCCUUCCUUUUCCCUUGUAAUCCUCCCACUUAUAUUUUUCGGGCUGUACAUGCUGCUUGUUCUCCCUACUAGUGUGAUGCUUGAAAUCUGCCAACUAUACCGUAGCUAACACUUCAUGGUAGGUUCCUAGUUCAAGUACUACCACUGCCUGCGUUAGAUCAUCCCUUAAACCCUAUUCAAAAUGUCUCACCCUCUUCUGCUCCGUAUCUAUAAAGCGUGAGGUAUAAUGGGAUAAUUCUUUAAACUUUCGCUCGUAUUCAGUAAGAGACGUCAAGCCUUGAGUCAAUGUAAUAAACUCAGCCUCCUUCUGAUUCCGGACACUUAUCGGGUAUAAUUUCUUUAAAAAGUUCUCCUUGAAUUGGUUCCAUGUCCACAUAUGUCCGCAAGCCCUUGACCUUGAGAUUAAGUCCCACCAGCGCAUGGCAUCAUUUUUCAACAGAGAGGUUACGCAUGUAACUUUUUUGGAGUCUGGAUAGUCAAUGAGAUCGAAGAUCCAUUCUGUACCUGCCCACCAAUCUUCUGCUUCCAAAGGAUGUAAACCACCUUCAAAAGUUGGAGGAUGCUGUUUCCUGAAAAGUUCUAUGACAACCGCCACAGUAUUCCUGUUGUCCCCUAUUGUUACUGGUGCCUGCGAUUAAGGUGGCAACGAUUGUGAUGGUGUCGGUGCUUGUGGUGGUGUUUGCCAAGGUACUGUUGUUUGGAUGAAUAUGUUCUUCAUAGCUAGAAAUUGUUGAGCAAACAGUGGGUCAACCCACUAAGUUGGGAUUGGUGGGGUUGUUCGCCAUUAUUAUUCGCUCUUCUACCUCGAGGUGCCAUAACCUUAAUAAAAUAUAAUAAGAUAAACAAAAAGUUAAAUGAAUUUUUUUUUUUUUUUUUUUGUGUGAAAUAGAAGAUUUUAGAGAUGGUAGUUUCUCAAAUUAGACACUUUACCAAAUUAUU